GAUGAACGCUGGCGGCGUGCCUAAUACAUGCAAGUCGAGCGAACGGACGAGAAGCUUGCUUCUCUGAUGUUAGCGGCGGACGGGUGAGUAACACGUGGAUAACCUACCUAUAAGACUGGGAUAACUUCGGGAAACCGUAGCUAAUACCGGAUAAUAUUUUGAACCGCAUGGUUCAAAAGUGAAAGACGGUCUUGCUGUCACUUAUAGAUGGAUCCGCGCUGCAUUAGCUAGUUGGUAAGGUAACGGCUUACCAAGGCAACGAUGCAUAGCCGACCUGAGAGGGUGAUCGGCCACACUGGAACUGAGACACGGUCCAGACUCCUACGGGAGGCAGCAGUAGGGAAUCUUCCGCAAUGGGCGAAAGCCUGACGGAGCAACGCCGCGUGAGUGAUGAAGGUCUUCGGAUCGUAAAACUCUGUGAUUAGGGAAGAACAUAUGUGUAAGUAACUGUGCACAUCUUGACGGUACCUAAUCAGAAAGCCACGGCUAACUACGCG
rnacentral:rRNA from 1 species